GACGAACGCUGGCGGCGUGCCUAAUACAUGCAAGUCGAGCGAUGAUUAAAGAUAGCUUGCUAUUUUUAUGAAGAGCGGCGAACGGGUGAGUAACGCGUGGGAAAUCUGCCGAGUAGCGGGGGACAACGUUUGGAAACGAACGCUAAUACCGCAUAACAAUGAGAAUCGCAUGAUUCUUAUUUGAAAGAAGCAAUUGCUUCACUACUUGAUGAUCCCGCGUUGUAUUAGCUAGUUGGUAGUGUAAAGGACUACCAAGGCGAUGAUACAUAGCCGACCUGAGAGGGUGAUCGGCCACACUGGGACUGAGACACGGCCCAGACUCCUACGGGAGGCAGCAGUAGGGAAUCUUCGGCAAUGGGGGCAACCCUGACCGAGCAACGCCGCGUGAGUGAAGAAGGUUUUCGGAUCGUAAAACUCUGUUGUUAGAGAAGAACGUUAAGUAGAGUGGAAAAUUACUUAAGUGACGGUAUCUAACCAGAAAGGGACGGCUAACUACGUGCCAGCCGCCGCGGUAA
rnacentral:rRNA from 1 species